rnacentral:rRNA from 1 species
AUGAACGCUGGCGGCGUGCCUAAUACAUGCAAGUCGAGCGAACGGACGAGAAGCUUGCUUUUCUGAUGUUAGCGGCGGACGGGUGAGUAACACGUGGAUAACCUACCUAUAAGACUGGGAUAACUUCGGGAAACCGGAGCUAAUACCGGAUAAUAUUUUGAACCGCAUGGUUCAAAAGUGAAAGACGGUCUUGCUGUCACUUAUAGAUGGAUCCGCGCUGCAUUAGCUAGUUGGUAAGGUAACGGCUUACCAAGGCAACGAUGCAUAGCCGACCUGAGAGGGUGAUCGACCACACUGGAACUGAGACACGGUCCAGACUCCUACGGGAGGCAGCAGUAGGGAAUCUUCCGCAAUGGGCGAAAGCCUGACGGAGCAACGCCGCGUGAGUGAUGAAGGUCUUCGGAUCGUAAAACUCUGUUAUUAGGGAAGAACAUAUGUGUAAGUAACUGUGCACAUCUUGACGGUACCUAAUCAGAAAGCCACGGCUAACUACGUG